rnacentral:rRNA from 1 species
GAGUUUGAUCCUGGCUCAGGAUGAACGCUGGCGGCGUGCUUAACACAUGCAAGUCGAACGAAGCACUUUAUUUGAUUUCCUUCGGGACUGAUUAUUUUGUGACUGAGUGGCGGACGGGUGAGUAACGCGUGGGUAACCUGCCUUGUACAGGGGGAUAACAGUUGGAAACGGCUGCUAAUACCGCAUAAGCGCACGGUACUGCAUGGUACAGUGUGAAAAACUCCGGUGGUAUGAGAUGGACCCGCGUUGGAUUAGCUAGUUGGCAGGGUAACGGCCUACCAAGGCGACGAUCAGUAGCCGGUCUGAGAGGAUGAACGGCCACAUUGGAACUGAGACACGGUCCAAACUCCUACGGGAGGCAGCAGUGGGGAAUAUUGCACAAUGGGGGAAACCCUGAUGCAGCAACGCCGCGUGAGUGAAGAAGUAUCUCGGUAUGUAAAGCUCUAUCAGCAGGGAAGAAAAUGACGGUACCUGACUAAGAAGCCCCGGCUAACUACGUGCCAGCCGCCGCGGUAAUAC